rnacentral:rRNA from 1 species
UACAGAGGUCCCAAGCGUUGUUCGGAUUUACUGGGCGUAAAGGGUGCGUAGGUGGUUGGAUAAGUCUGAUGUGAAAUCUCCGGGCUCAACCCGGAAAUGGCAUUGGAUACUAUUUGACUCGAGGGUUGGAGGGGGGACUGGAAUACUUGGUGUAGCAGUGAAAUGCGUAGAUAUCAAGUGGAACACCAGUGGCGAAGGCGAGUCCCUGGACAACUCCUGACACUGAGGCACGAAAGCUAGGGGAGCAAACAGG